UGUCUAAGUAUAAAGGUAUUUACAAUGAAACUGCGAAUGGCUCAUUCAAACAGUUAUAGUUUAUUUGAUAUUCAAACUUAUAUUUACAUAUUAGUUUAAAUGGAUAACCGUGAGUAAUUCUAGAGCUAAUACAUGCGUUACGGGGGACCUCACGGAACCCCAGUAUUUAUUAGAUUUUAAACCAGCAUUCCGCAAGGUCUACUGAGAUGAUUCAUGAUAACUGAUCGAAUUGCUGGGUCUACCAGCAAUAAAUCAUUCAUGUUUCUGCUUCCCAUCAGCUUGAUGGUAGUGUAUUGGACAACCAUGGCAUUCACGGGCUAUCGGGGGAUUAGGGUUCGAUUCCGGAGAGGGAGCCUGAGAAACGGCUACCACUUCUACGGAAGGCAGCAGCGCGAAAAUUAUCCAAUCCUGAUUCAGGAGGUAGUGAAAGAAAUAAUGAACUAGGAUUUAUCCUGGGAUCACAAUGGGCUUGAUUUGCAAACUUUAUUAGCGAGGAACAAUUGGAGGGCAAGUCUGGUGCCAGCAGCCGCGGUAAUUCCAGCUCCAAUAGUGUAUAUUAAUGUUCCUGCAGUUAUUCGAUGCUCGUAGUUGGAUUUCUGGGGGCUGAUUCUGGAGGGCGGCUAUGGCCGCCACCGGUUUCUUCCUUCAUCCACCUGUUAACGUUGUUCGAGAUUCAUUUCUCGGCUUCGGGCUCAGGUAUUUUACCCUUACUAUAUUCAUUUAUUUAUCUUCGUUUUGAGCAAAUUAUAGUGUUUCAGGCAGGCGUGCGCCGGAAUACUUUAACAUGGAAUAAUCGAAUUGGACCGUGUUCCCUAUUUGUUGGUUUGAUGGACACGGAAUGGUUGAUAGGGAUAGUAAUUUUCAGGGAGGCAUUAGUAUUUAAUUUCCAGAGUGAA
rnacentral:rRNA from 1 species